CAAUACCCAAGAUUCUCAAAGAAAAUACUGGAUAGUGGCAAACGGGUGAGUAACACGUGGAUAAUCUACCCUUGAGUGGGGGAUAACUUUGCGAAAGUGGAGCUAAUACCGCGUAAGACUACAGAAUCGCAUGAUUCAGUAGUAAAAGGCUCCGGUUUACCGGAGUUGCUCGGGGAUGAGUCCGCGCCUGAUUAGCUAGUUGGUAGGGUAAUGGCCUACCAAGGCAACGAUCAGUAGCCGGCCUGAAAGGGUGUACGGCCACACUGGAAUUGAGAUACGGUCCAGACUCCUACGGGAGGCAGCAGUGGGGAAUCUUGCGCAAUGGGGGAAACCCUGACGCAGUGACGCCGCGUGAACGAUGAAGCCUUUCGGGGUGUAAAGUUCUGUCAGGCGGGAAGAAACUCCUCCGAUUGUAUCGGAGGGAUGACGGUACCGCCAGAGGAAGCACCGGCUAACUCCGUGCCAGCAGCCGCGGU
rnacentral:rRNA from 1 species